GAUGAACGCUAGCUACAGGCUUAACACAUGCAAGUCGCGGGGCAGCAUGAAGGAUGCUUGCAUCCUUUGAUGGCGACCGGCGCACGGGUGAGUAACGCGUAUCCAACCUGCCUGUUACCACGGCACAGCCCGUCGAAAGGCGGAUUAAUGCCGUAUGUGGUUCUUUGCGGGCAUCUAAUUAGGACUAAAGGUUCGGCGGUAACGGAUGGGGAUGCGUCCGAUUAGCUAGACGGCGGGGUAACGGCCCACCGUGGCUACGAUCGGUAGGGGUUCUGAGAGGAAGGUCCCCCACACUGGAACUGAGACACAGUCCAGACUCCUACGGGAGGCAGCAGUGAGGAAUAUUGGUCAAUGGGCGGAAGCCUGAACCAGCCAAGUAGCGUGAGGGAAGACUGCCCUAUGGGUUGUAAACCUCUUUUGUGCGGGGAUAAAGUGUGGGACGUGUCCCAUAUUGCAGGUACCGCACGAAUAAGGACCGGCUAAUUCCGUGCCAGCAGCCGCGGUAAUACGGAAGGUCCGGGCGUUAUCCGGAUUUAUUGGGUUUAAAGGGAGCGCAGGCCGUCCUUUAAGCGUGCUGUGAAAUGCCGCGGCUCAACCGUGGCACUGCAGCGCGAACUGGAGGACUUGAGUACGCACGAGGUAGGCGGAAUUCGUGGUGUAGCGGUGAAAUGCUUAGAUAUCACGAAGAACUCCGACUGCGAAGGCAGCUUACCGGAGCGCAACUGACGCUGAGGCUCGAAAGCGCGGGUAUCGAACAGGAUUAGAUACCCUGGUAGUCCGCGCGGUAAAAGGAUGGGAUGCCCGCCGUGGGGAUAUUGAUUUCAGCGGCCAAGCGAAAGCGUUAAGCAUCCCACCUAAGGAGUACGCCGGCAGCGGUGAAACUCAAAGGAAUUGACGGGGGCCUGCACAAGCGGAGGAACAUGUGGUUUAAUUUGAUGAUACGCGAGGAACCUUACCCGGGCUUGAAUUGCAGGAGAACGAUCCAGAGAUGGUGAGGCCCUUCGGGGCUCCUGUGAAGGUGGUGCAUGGUUGUCGUCAGCUCGUGCCGUGAGGUGUCGGCUCAAGUGCCAUAACGAGCGCAACCCCUGUCCAUAGUUGCCAUCAGGUUUAGCUGGGCACUCUGUGGAGACUGCCGCCGUAAGGUGUGAGGAAGGUGGGGAGGACGUCAAAUCAGCACGGCCCUUACGUCCGGGGGUACACACGUGUUACAAUGGGGCAUACAGCGAGUUGGAUGUGCGCAAGUACGUCCGGAUCAAUAAAGUGCCUCUCAGUUCGGACUGGGGUGUGCAACCCGACCCCACGAAGCUGGAUUCGCUAGUAAUCGCGCAUCAGCCAUGGCGCGGUGAAUACGUUCCCGGGCCUUGCACA
rnacentral:rRNA from 1 species